rnacentral:rRNA from 1 species
GACGAACGCUGGCGGCGUGCUUAACACUUGCAAGUCGAACGGAAAGGCCCCUUUGGGGGUCCUCGAGUGGCGAACGGGUGAGUAACACGUGAGUAACCUGCCCUUGACUUCGGGAUAACUUCAGGAAACUGGGGCUAAUACCGGAUAGGAAUCCUUGCUGCAUGGUGGGGGUUGGAAAGCUUCGGCGGUUUUGGAUGGACUCGCGGCUUAUCAGCUUGUUGGUGGGGUAGUGGCUUACCAAGGCUUUGACGGGUAGCCGGCCUGAGAGGGCGACCGGCCACAUUGGGACUGAGAUACGGCCCAGACUCCUACGGGAGGCAGCAGUGGGGAAUAUUGCACAAGGGGCGGAAGCCUGAUGCAGCAACGCCGCGUGCGGGAUGACGGCCUUCGGGUUGUAAACCGCUUUCAGCAGGGGCGAAGCUUGUGGUGACGGUACCUGCAGAAGAAGCACCGGCUAACUACGUG